rnacentral:lncRNA from 1 species
AUGGUCGGCGAGACUGAAACCUGCGUUAUCUCUGACACCUGCCCGGUGAUUGAGGAAUAUCAGGACAAAGGGAAGGAGCCCGCUUCUAAACGACCAAAACCUGGAUCUUGGUCGGAAUCAAACUCACCGGAUAGUCCACCCUCAGCCCAGGUAAAUCAUCAGCUGUUGGCCUCUAUUGAGGUAAGACUGCGAAAGCUGGAUAUACUGGAUGAGCUGCGGCAAGAUGUCCAAGAGCUGAAGCAGACCUCGGAGUUCAUAUGCGCAACACUGGAUGAAUAUAAGAGGAAAACUGAUGUGCUGGAAACCACAUUCACCAAAGUGGAAACAACGGUGAAUCAGAUGAAAACGGAAAGUGACCAAUUAAAGGAAAAAAUGCUUGAGCUGACGACUAGAUCCAUGAGGGAUAAUUUGAUUUUCUCCGGGAUCCCAGAAGCUUCAGGUGAAGAAGUGGAAAAAACGCUUAAACAGUUCUUCAUCAACGAAUUACAGAUGGAUGUGGAGAUGGUGGAAAAAAUCCAGUUUGAUCGUGUACACAGGCUCCAACGCAACAGAGAAAACCAAGGAAAGCCCCGUCUAUUGAUGGCGAAGUUUGAACGAUUCCAGGAUAAAGCCUUUGUUAAAAGUUUCAGCAAACACCUGGCGGGUAAGCCCUAUGGUGUGAACGACCAAUUCCCUCCAGAAAUUGUGGCACGAAGAAGAAAGUUGAUCCCUAAAUUAAAAGAGCAUCGGGAGAAGAAAGAUGCGGUGUCACCGGUCAGCAAAAUUUCCUCUGGAAAAGUUAAUGCUACGGCAGGAUUCUGACAGGCUGGAGGUGUGCCUGUGGAGGGAGGCAGCAGUGGAGCCUACACAGGUUGGAGAGCGAGUUAAGAUCACGCAUCUCAGGGCACAGAGCACUACCCUUCACUCCACCCUGCACACCACCUUUGAGGUACUGCCUUGUUUCUGUUUAUUUUUUUAUCUGUUGCAUUUGCUAUUCUGUUUAGGAAAAUGGUAAUUCUGACCUCAUGCCAUAUGUUUGUUUAUUUCAUCUCUCAACAGAAACCAGAGACUGUAGAGAAAGUGGCUUCCAUCCUCGGGGUAGUGGAGGAGCAGCUGGAGGGAGGGUUCCUCCAGCUGCUCCUGGAUGAUCAAACAGUCCCCGAUGUGAGAGAGGAGCUAUGGGCACCGAUUGCGAAUGGACUUACCAAUGGGCCAUUAAAAGCCCAUCUUACAAUGGAGGGAAAACUCAUAACAAAAAUAACAUUAAUCAACACAGAAGAAUGAAUGGUGGGAGUGGGUGGGAGUGGUUGGGGGGGGUCAUAGGGUUGAAAUAAUUUUGAAAUUGUUUGAUUUUUUCUGUUUGGGGGUGUUUAAAUCAGAGGGGUAAAAUAAGUUUAAAAUUGUUUGAUGUCUUCUGUUUGAUUGUGUUCAAUGCAUUCUUUAUGUCGUUCUUUUUUUAAUAUGUUCACAUUUUGGGGUGUUGUUCAAAUCAGAGGGUUACAAAAUAGGAAUGGGGGGGGUUAAAGAAGGAUUCUGAUCAGUUUGAUUUUGUUCCAUGUUCGAUGUCUUAAGGUUGUUCCUUUUUUAAUAUGUUAAUUUUCUCAUUGAUUUUACAUAAUCAAAUAUAUUCUGAAACAUUCGAAGCAUUCUGCGUUUUAAUGAAGUCACUGGUACUCAGCUACAGUUUAACAAGUAUAUUGUCAAAGCUUAAUUAUCUUUGUCUUUUUUUUUUUCUGCUGCUCCCAUACUUACCAGGCAAAAAGGUCGGUAAAUAUCUAAAAAACGAAACAUUAUAUAAUAGUUUAACUACAAAUCAUGGCUAAAUAUCUCCAUCUCAGCUCUGUGUAAACUUAAAUAUCAAUAUUAAUAUUAAUUUGUUGGUUUCAGGGUCACGCAGCUUCUCCCAUCUGUUUGUUUGUGUUCGAGUUCCACACACACACACACGCACACGCUCGCAUACACGCACACAUGCACAGGACAUUUUCAAAAUAUAUAAAUCAUGUGUUAAUCCAAACAAGAUUCAUCAAUUUGAGCUAUUAAACUGUGCAGUUGCACUCUAGCUACUGCGCGAGUCUGAACGUCACCUUCAUGACGUCAGGACAGCCCUAAUUGUCUUUUAUCUACGCUGACGUUUAUGACGUGUGUUUCGAUGAAUUUCCAUAUCCAUAAGCGCCUGCGCCUCUUUUCUACUCAAAUAUCACAUGCUUUAAGAUAAGUAGCAGCCGUAUGGCCACACCUAUGGGAUAGUCAACAUGAAUAAAACUAUAAAAUCCUUCAUGUAAUCAAACAUCCUUUAUCACCUGUCUUGUGAUGCAAAUAACAGUUAUAAUCUCUUUCUGUUCUGCUGUUUCAUAGUCUGUAGAGCUGGCGCAGCCUUAACACGCAGACGUGCCAUGUAGAAAACCCGAGAUCGAUGCUUUUGGUGACUUUUUUUUUUUUUAUCACUGCUUGUAGUGUUCUUGGAGAUUGUCUGAUAUUAUUAUUUAGACAGUGUUUCUAAAUACAGAUUAAAACGAAGUGUUUUUGGAGACAAUUUGUUUCUGUCAUGCCAAAAAAUUAGUAGUUUCUUUACUCUUAAGAUAUGUACACAGUCUUGUACCUUUGCGUUUUUCUCCGUUUUCCAAAUGUAUGUUUUGCGCCAAAUUAAAUGUGUUAUAGUCACAAUUAAUCUUGUAGUUUAUGGCUUGGUUCCAGGCUUCAAACUCUUUAUAUAAGAAUUUCAUGAAAGUGCAAAACUGCGGGAGGAGAAGGAAGACGUAGUUUAUAAGUGUUAUUGUUAAGAAAAAUGUAAUGUAUAAGAAUAAAUACAUGAAAAUGUAAAAUGUAAUCUAUGAAUGGAGUGUUUAAAGCUCAUUUAAGUGCAAAAAAGUUUUACCCAGAAUGUAAAGGCUGUAUGCAUGACAACAGGUAUUUUUUAACUGCAAUAGCUGGGACAUUGAGAGAAAUCUGGCACAGAAGUAGUGAAGAGACCGGGUUGACCUAGUAGGAGUUGUUGUCUGUUAUUGAAAUCUGUCUGGGGGGAUUGUUAACCAAAAUCCGAUCAGAUUAGCUUUGAACAUCUGUC